rnacentral:rRNA from 1 species
AGAAUCAACGCUGGCGGCGUGCCUCAGACAUGCAAGUCGAACGCGAAACCUUCCUUCGGGAGGGGAGUAGAGUGGCGCACGGGUGAGUAACACGUAGGUAAUCUACCUUUGGGUGGGGGAAUAACAGCCGGAAACGGCUGCUAAUACCGCAUAAUGCAGCGGCUCGACAUCGAGACAGUUGUUAAAGCGGGGGAUUGGAGCAAUCCGACCUCGCGCCUAAAGAGGAGCCUGCGGCAGAUUAGCUAGUUGGCAGGGUAAUGGCCUACCAAGGCGACGAUCU